CACCGUUUCGACAACAUGGUCUUAAUCUCAACCCUCGAUAUAGACAACUCCGUAAAUGCGAUAACUAGUGCCUUAAUUGGGUGUUAUGAAAAAGUCUGUCCACUAACCCACCCGGGAAAGAAAUGUCAACCUGUUUGGUGGUCAAAACAUUUAGCCAAUCUAAGGAGGGAUAGUAGACGACUGUACAAUAGGGCCAACAAGACCAAACAUAGUACGGACUGGGAUGCCUACAAAGCAUCCUUCAACAAGUACAACAGUGAGAUCAAGAAGGCCAAGCGCUCAUCUUGGGUAUGCUUUACUGAGUCGAUUGAAAGUGUCAACGAAGCCUCCAGAUUUCGUAAAGUCCUUUCGAAGGACCCUAAAUCCAUCGGAAGUAUAAAACGGACUGACGGCACAUGGACUGACUCUGGACUAGAGACUCUUAACCUGCUAGCCAACACGCAUUUCCCCGGCUGUAUUGACGCGACAAGCAAUCGGCAAACCGAUCAAGUACAUCAUGAUCAUACAACUAGGGACCAAGACUUGGCUGACAGAAUAGUAAGUUUACCCAAAAUCAAGUGGGCCAUAGAUACAUUCAAACCUUUUAAAUCUCCAGGACCAGAUGGUGUUAUUCCUGCUAUGCUCCAAAGUGUCUCAGCGGUAAUAUCACCAGUACUGAGUGAGAUUUUCAAAGCUUGUCUGCGUCUAUCCUACAUCCCAGAAUCAUGGAGGGAAGUCACAGUCACUUACAUCCCCAAAGCGGGGAAACCGAGUCACUCACUUCCCAAGGACUAUAGACCGAUAAGUCUCUCAUCCUUCCUAUUGAAAACCUUGGAAAGGCUGAUAGACACAGAGAUCAGAUCUCUAAUACCCCAAACCGCCAUCAGCACUGCUCAACAUGCCUAUAUGAAAGGCAAAUCUGUUGAGACAGCGCAACAUGAUGUCGUAGGGUAUAUAGAGAAGAACAUGAAUGGCUCCUUAUUCACAUUGGCUGCCUUCCUCGAUAUUGAGGGAGCUUUCAACAACGUCACGUUGGAAUCCAUUCAUGAGUCACUAUCAAAACUAAAAUUGCCACAACUCCUCAUAGACUGGGUUGAUAACAUGCUUAGCAGCAGAAUCAUCAACUCGAGCAUUGGGGAAACAUCUGUCAGGAAAUCGGUCACUAGGGGCACGCCACAAGGGGGCGUCCUAUCACCGUUACUCUGGCUUUUGGUUAUUAACAACAUACUUAUAGAUCUAGAGGUAACAGGGACGAAAGUAGUCGCAUACGCUGAUGAUGUCGUCCUACUAAUUGCCGGGAAAUUCCCGCAAACAAUCUCGGACCUAAUGCAAGGAGCUCUAGUCACUCUAUCACGGUGGGCACGUCAAAACGGGCUAGGCGUGAACCCAGCAAAGACAGAGCUCGUACUUUUCACUAAGAAGCGUAAAUAUCCGUUAUUUACACUACCAAGACUAGAUGGAGUCACUCUAAACCUCUCACCAGAGGCCAAAUACCUUGGUACAAUCCUUGACCGACAAUUAAGUUGGAAGAGGAAUAUUGAGGAACGAGCCAAAAGAGGUUUUAUCGCACUCUAUUCUUGCAAGAACUCCAUAGGUAAAAGCUGGGGCCUCAAACCAUACAUCAUUAAAUGGUUGUAUGAGUCAAUCGUUCGCCCCAUUCUAACCUAUGGAUCUCUAGUAUGGUGGCAUUCUCUAAAGAAGCCAACUUACUCACGCAACAUUAACAAAGUCCAAAGAGCCGCAUCCUUACUAAUAACGGGUGCCUUUAGGAGCACGCCUCAAGCUGCGCUAGAUACUCUACUGGGUUUAAGCCCGCUGGCCAUACAUGUAGAGGAACUGGCAUUCAGGUGUGCUCUUCGGCUCAGGGAACUAGGUGAAUGGCGUAGUCAACCAUUUGGUCACUCUACGAUUCUAAGGCGUGUAAGGACUGUGGGAGAGAUAGCCUAUGCAAGUGAUUAUAUUUCACCACGAUUAAGCUUCUGCCCACCUGAAAUACACAUACCUGAAAGAGAAGCCUGGUCCCAAAACAGCCCACCUUUCCGCGGCAUAUCUGUAUAUACCGACGGCUCAAAGAUGGAAUGCGGUACGGGAGCAGGUGUCUUCUGUGACACCCUUAAUAUCCGUGAAUCCUACAAGCUCAGAAACAAUUGUAGCGUUUUUCAGGCAGAAAUCCUGGCGGUCAAAAAGGCCAUAGACCUGCUAGUCACGAGGAACAUAGAGGUCGGAAGUCCGGUGACUAUAUAUGUCGAUAGUCAGGCGGCACUGAAAGCACUAAAUUCCUUUACUAUCAAGUCUAGGGCGGUUUUAAGCUGCAGGGAAGCCUUGGAACACUCUAGGUUGUCAAUCAAGCUUUGUUGGGUUCCCGGCCAUUACAAUAUCACAGGUAACGAAACUGCAGAUGAAUUGGCCAGGCUAGGAUCCGAAUCAACUACAAUAGAAAUAGAUAAUUCGGUCAAACCACCACUGUGCCACUUCCUACAGAUCGUUCGCAAACACUACCAGGAAAAGACACAACAAAAAUGGCUGGAUGAAACGGGAUGUACCAUCUCCAAAAGAAUCUGGCCUGUGCUCUCAGAGAAGAGAACAAGAUCGCUGAUGUCAUUGUCUAAACCAGAUUUAAAACUUGUGGUGGGCAUCAUCACAGGUCACUGUAAGGUGAGGGCUAUGACCUCAAAAUGGGACAGCGAUGAUAUUGAUUACUGCAGGAUCUGUCAAGAUGAAGAAGAAAUUGAGACAAUCGAACACUUGCUCUGCCACUGCCCAGCGCUCAUUAACGUGAGACAUAAACUAGUGGGAGAACUAGUGUCACGUGAUUUGUCCUCUUUUUCUACCACGGACCCUGCAGUGAUCCUUCAAUUAGCCAGAAGGUUCAAGUGGCUAAAGACGACACGGCAAACUCAGCCGUAGACUACGUACUAUCUAUUUCCUACUGUCAAUUCUUAUACUUUCUCUAUCUUUCGCUCUAACUCUUUCCUAGGAUGAACACAAUGGACCUAUAGGUCUCCGAGUGGAGCAGUUGCUAAAUGCAGCUGCGCGUCCUUUAACCUAACCUAACCUAGGUACAAUACAAACUCUUGAGUAAAAAAUAUGGACUGUAUAAUUUCAACAGACUGAGUUAACAUUGCAAUAGGGUAAACAUGAAUUAACAGCACAAGAAAAUGUACAAUAGUAGUUUAAAAACGAAAGGACAUUUUGGAGUCUUCAAAUUCUCGUUUGUCCUUUUCAUCUGAUAAAUUCGCAAAGCCAUAUUACAAGUAGAUAUGGUAAUGGAAUUCGAAUGAUAUAUUAUAUACUAACAUUAAACUAAUUCUAGGAACGAAACUAAAAAAAGAUGUCAAAGUUAACUUAACACGCACUCAUGGUGGAGACUCUAAAAAUUAAAAUAUUGAUCAAGAAUAAGUGAAUAUGUAAUUCAAUAAAGAUUAGAUAGGCAAACUUAAACCCACAUUGACAAAUAAUAUCAUAGUCAUGCACAACAACCCAAGGCAUUUAAAUACCAAACAUGUUUGACGUGUCGUCGAGCCACCUAAGUGUACACGGAGUAUACAUAGCUGCACAUUUACGAUAACUGCGUUUAGUAUGUUUUUUUGUUUUCCUUUACAUACCAAUUUUCUUAUUUUACCUGCCUAAAGAUAGAAAGUCAAUUUUAGCACUUAACUAGUUGAAAAUUUAUUUAAUUUAGUUGCAAUUUGCCAAGUAAUUGCAUGGGAAAUGUCUAAGAAAAAGCUAACUUCCCUAUCGAUACGAGAAAAAUUGAAUAUUAUUAAAGAAGUUGAAGAGGAAAAAGCUAACAAAAAGUACAUAUGUGACAAAUACAAAUGCAACAUUUCCACGGUGCACCGCAUUCUUAAAAGAAAAGACGAAAUAAGACAAGCGGCAGCGAAUUCUUUAAAUUUAAAACAAAAACGGAACAGAAAAGGUUUUCACUAUAAUGUUGAAAAAGCAUUAACGGCCUGGUAUUACGAACAACAAGGAACUUAUAGAAAAAUAGCCGGUACUGUCCUAAUCAAAAAAGCAAAACAAUUAGCCAUUGAAUUGGGUGAAGACUUUGAGCCAGAUGCAAAUUGGAUAUUUAGAUGGAGAAGGCGUAAUAUUUGUGGUCCAAAUGCCGUUGAUGAGGAAGAGGGUGACGACAGUAAUUUCGAAAUCAGAGAAAUGGGUGACGAGAGUUCUGUACAUGACCAAUUAGUUCUUAAGUGUGAAUACGAAAAUGAGGAUGUGAAUGCGAAGGAAUUAAUCCCAAAAAUAUUUGAUAAAACAGAUAUGCUUAAUGGACAAAGGGUCAAUGUAAGCCCCGAGGCUAUCACUGAAGAAUCAAUGGAAGUCGAAUCAACAAAUAAAACCAAUAGUAGAGAUAGUUUCGAUCGCAUUGUCGAGACAUGGGCGGAUAAACUGAGAAGAAUGGAUCCGUUGCAACAGCUGUGGGCGGAAAAGUUUAUUAAUGAUAUAAUGUUAGAAGGUCAACUGGGCAAUCUUCAUCGUCAUAGUGUUCAAAUUAUGUGAUUUACCAAAUAAUAAAACUGCGUUAUUACAUUGAUUAUAUUGUAAGGAAAAAGAAAACGUAUUUCUAUUGUCUUGCUUCUUUAA